CUGCCAUAUCACCUUUAAACACCUUUUCUCGUCCGACCUCCAAAGUUAAGCAACGUCAAGCUUAGUCUCUAGAAGGGUGACCGCUUGGGAAUACCAGGUGCUGUAA